GGGGAAAAAGAUGUUUGUAUGGGAUUGAGUGACUGGGAUGGUGGGAAGGAGAGGAAGGAGGAGAUAGUUUAGCUGGGUAGGAUGGUGAGAAGGAGUGAGAGAUGAGAUCGGGUGAUGAAUCUGAUGAUGGAAGUAAUGACCAGGGAAAGAGAAGAUGGUCCUGUAAGAAGAAAAGAAAAUGGCAAUAAACGAGGGACACAUAGGGUAGAAGGAAAGGCAUAUUUCUCUUU
rnacentral:lncRNA from 1 species